rnacentral:rRNA from 1 species
UGGGCGCAAGCCUGAUCCAGCCAUGCCGCGUGCAGGAAGACGCAUCUAUGGUGUGUAAACUGCUUUUGUACGGGAAGAAACACUCCCUCGUGAGGGAGCUUGACGGUACCGUAAGAAUAAGGAUCGGCUAACUCCGUGCCAGCAGCCGCGGUAAUACGGAGGAUCCAAGCGUUAUCCGGAAUCAUUGGGUUUAAAGGGUCCGUAGGCGGUUUGGUAAGUCAGUGGUGAAAGCCCAUCGCUUAACGAUGGAACGGCCAUUGAUACUGCCAGACUUGAAUUACUAGGAAGUAACUAGAAUAUGUAGUGUAGCGGUGAAAUGCUUAGAUAUUACAUGGAAUACCAAUUGCGAAGGCAGGUUACUACUAGUGGAUUGACGCUGAUGGACGAAAGCGUGGGGAGCGAACAGGAUUAGAUACCCUGGUAGCCACGCCGUAA